UGGGCAACCUGCCCUCAGCUCUGGGAUAACCCCGGGAAACCGGGGCUAAUACCGGAUACGACCUCCACGGGCAUCUGUGGAGGUGGAAAGGGUUUCCGGCUGAGGAUGGGCCCGCGGCCUAUCAGCUUAUUGGUGGGGUGACGGCCCACCAAGGCGACGACGGGUAGCCGGCCUGAGAGGGUGACCGGCCACACUGGGACUGAGACACGGCCCAGACUCCUACGGGAGGCA
rnacentral:rRNA from 1 species